UACGUAGGGUGCGAGCGUUGUCCGGAAUUACUGGGCGUAAAGGGCUCGUAGGCGGUUUGUCGCGUCGGGAGUGAAAACUCAGGGCUUAACCCCUGAGCCUGCUUCCGAUACGGGCAGACUAGAGGUAUGCAGGGGGAGAACGGAAUUCCUGGUGUAGCGGUGAAAUGCGCAGAUAUCAGGAGGAACACCGGUGGCGAAGGCGGUUCUCUGGGCAUUACCUGACGCUGAGGAGCGAAAGUGUGGGGAGCGAACAGG
rnacentral:rRNA from 1 species